CACGUAGGGCGCAAGCGUUGUCCGGAAUUAUUGGGCGUAAAGAGCUCGUAGGCGGUCUGUUGCGUCCGCUGUGAAAGCCCUAGGCUCAACCUAGGAACUGCGCCCAAUACUGUGAGACUUGAGUGUCGGAGAGGAUAGUGGAAUUCCCAGUGUAGAGGUGAAAUUCGUAGAUAUUGGGAGGAACACCAGUGGCGAAGGCGGCUAUCUGGACGAACACUGACGCUGAGACACGAAAGCGUGGGGAGCAAACAGG
rnacentral:rRNA from 1 species